UAAUACGUAGGGACCAAGCGUUGUUCGGAUUUACUGGGCGUAAAGGGCGCGUAGGCGGCGCGGUAAGUCACUUGUGAAAUCUCUGAGCUCAACUCAGAACGGCCAAGUGAUACUGCAGUGCUAGAGUGUGGAAGGGGCAAUCGGAAUUCUUGGUGUAGCGGUGAAAUGCGUAGAUAUCAAGAGGAACACCUGAGGUGAAGACGGGUUGCUGGGCCAACACUGACGCUGAUGCGCGAAAGCCAGGGGAGCAAACGGGAUUAGAUACCCCGGUAGUCCUGGCCCUAAACGAUGAAUACUUGGUGUCUGGAGUUUUAAUGCUCCGGGUGCCGUCGCUAACGUUUUUAGUAUUCCGCCUGGGGAGUACGCUCGCAAGAGU
rnacentral:rRNA from 1 species